AGAAGCUAAAGGAGGGGUGUAGGAAGAGGUGGAGAGAAAUACAUUUUUAAUAUGGGAUGUUACAAACUAACUUUGAAUGUCCAUUCUCAUAUGUGAAGAAGAAAAUAGCCACCGAUGGUUUAGCUCCUCUCAUUGUCCAGUGAGUCAAGGAUCUUCUCAUAUCGGAAGAAAACAGUUAAGGAGCAGAAUCUGAGCUAUUAUGUCUAUUCUUUCUACAGCCAAGCUAAACAAGGAUAAUACGUGUAUAAGAAAAAUAACCAGAAAGAUAUCUAGAUUUUGUGAAUUGUGAGGAGAUUCCAGAUUGAAAAACUAUUACGAACUGGCAGUGGGAAUAGAGAAGCACCUGAUAACUUCUAUCUUCCUCUACAAAUGCCUUUCUCCCAGACUCUGCAAAACUGGACUAGCACACAAAUACGGAGUCAGAACCUCAACCAAAGCAACUUAAAACUUGGCUUUGGAAGCAGGCUUUUGAAGACGAUGGUUUUAACAUUUUAAUGCUUUUAUUCUAGCAAGAGCAGCUAUUUUUGAUGUUGAUGUUAUAUUCGCAUAUGUUAUCAGUAAUUGCAAUGGUUCUAUUUAAAGUUAUGUUAAUUUGACCUAUGUACUAUUUUUUUUGUAUUGUUUUAACUGUUGCUUGCUGUAAGCUACCGGGCUAUAAGUAAAACAACAACAACAACUUCUUCUUCUUCCAUAUGAAUACAGGAAGCAACAGUAUAUCUACAUUACAUAAUUAUAGCAUUUGGACUCUAAUUUAACUGCCAUGAUGCUGUCCUAUGGAAUCCUGAGAUUUGUAAUUGUAUAAGGUAUAGGAUAACUCUUAUAUCCAUUGGGAAUAUUGCACACUCUUGAACUUACCAUGGCAACAAGAAACCAUGGAUUCUUGGUAAACCCCAUUGAAAUGAGUAAUUUUGGGCUGGAAGUUACUAAAGUUACGAAAGAGUCGCCCUGGAGAACUUAAAAAUUAAAAAUUUCUAGAGAGCUAUACUCUCCAGGAAUUUCUUAAGUCCUCCACAGUGACUCUACAGCAACUUCUGGCAGAAGCAUAUAUAAGAAUCGCCUUAAAGAAGUUAGAAAAUUCCUAGAGAAAAGAUUUUCUUGGAUGCCAAGAUGUGAAACCGUGGGUAGUGAUCCCAGGGGUCAUUCUGUACUUAAGAAAUUAUUUUCCAAAGAACAUUAAAGGUAUCCUUAAGGGUGACUACUAGAGACUCCUAGUAUCUCACUAAAACAAAAAUUCUAGACUUUUAUGGACUUCUGUUUAUGGACUUCAGUGAAUACACCUAUACUUAAAGAGUAUGGAUUAUUGAUUAUGAAUGAUACCCUGUGUACUCAACACAGAGAAACUACAUCCUAUCUAUAACUGAACUU